AAAUUAGGCAAUAUUCUACAUUUUCAUGAUGAACUUAGAAAUAGGUCAAUGUCUAAGAGCAAACCCACAAUAGAUUGCAAUAGUCACCAUGAUGACCUUAUGUCUGAUCACGACUAGAAAUGACUAUCAGUGAUUGGUUAAUUCCCAAAAACAACACACCAUACACAAUCAGAUACAACUUAAAGGCAAAACCAAGUUACCCAGAUCUUCAAUUCUAAUCAUGUACUACCUCAACUUAAUAUUUUUAGCAUUAUUAAACCAGGUUAACUUGCUGGCUGGGUUGCAAUAAAUUCAAUCCAAAUCGAAACCCCAACCCCAACAUUAGAAGUUCG
rnacentral:misc_RNA from 1 species